rnacentral:rRNA from 1 species
UACGGAGGGCGCGAGCGUUGUCCGGAAUCACUGGGCGUAAAGGGCGCGUAGGCGGCCCUGGUAAGUCGGCGGUGAAAGCCCGGGGCUCAACCCCGGGUCGGCCGCGGGUACUGCCGGGCUGGAGUGCCGUAGGGGCAGGCGGAAUUCCGGGUGUAGCGGUGGAAUGCGUAGAGAUCCGGAAGAACACCGGUGGCGAAGGCGGCCUGCUGGGCGGCGACUGACGCUGAGUCGCGACAGCGUGGGGAGCAAACAGG